ACCCAAGUAGCUCAGUUGGUUAGAGCGAGGUCAAUUCAUCUAAAAAUCCAUGACCUUUAAAAGAUGGUUUAGAGACGCAGGUUCGAGUCCUGUCUUGGGUG
rnacentral:tRNA from 2 species